AACGAACGCUGGCGGCAUGCCUAACACAUGCAAGUCGAACGAGACCUUCGGGUCUAGUGGCGCACGGGUGCGUAACGCGUGGGAACCUGCCCUUAGGUUCGGAAUAACUCCCCGAAAGGUGUGCUAAUACCGGAUAAUGUCUUCGGACCAAAGAUUUAUCGCCUUUGGAUGGGCCCGCGUUGGAUUAGCUAGUUGGUAGGGUAAAAGCCUACCAAGGCGACGAUCCAUAGCUGGUCUGAGAGGAUGAUCAGCCACACUGGGACUGAGACACGGCCCAGACUCCUACGGGAAGCAGCAGUGGGGAAUAUUGGACAAUGGGCGAAAGCCUGAUCCAGCAAUGCCGCGUGAGUGAUGAAGGCCUUAGGGUUGUAAAGCUCUUUUACCCGGGAUGAUAAUGACAGUACCGGGAGAAUAAGCUCCGGCUAACUCCGUG
rnacentral:rRNA from 1 species